rnacentral:rRNA from 1 species
UACAGAGGGCGCAAGCGUUGUUCGGAUUUACUGGGCGUAAAGGGCGUGUAGGCGGAUAUGCAAGUCGGGGGUGAAAGGCCAGGGCUUAACCCGGGACGGUCUCUCGAAACUGCAUGUCUAGAGAAAGUCAGAGGCAGGUGGAAUUCCAGGUGUAGAGGUGAAAUUCGUAGAGAUCUGGAGGAACACCGGCGGCGAAGGCGGCCUGCUGGGGCUUUUCUGACGCUGAGGCGCGAAAGCGUGGGUAGCAAACAGG